rnacentral:rRNA from 1 species
GGGAAACCCUGACGCAGCAACGCCGCGUGAGUGAUGAAGGCUUUCGGGUCGUAAAGCUCUGUCUAGAGGGAAGAAAUGAUAUUGGGUUAAUACCCUGAUUUCUUGACGGUACCUCUGAAGGAAGCACCGGCUAACUCCGUGCCAGCAGCCGCGGUAAUACGGAGGGUGCAAGCGUUGUUCGGAAUUAUUGGGCGUAAAGCGCGUGUAGGCGGUUUGUUAAGUCUGAUGUGAAAGCCCCGGGCUCAACCUGGGAAGUGCAUUGGAAACUGUCAGACUUGAAUACGGGAGAGGGUAGUGGAAUUCCUAGUGUAGGAGUGAAAUCCGUAGAUAUUAGGAGGAACACCGGUGGCGAAGGCGGCUACCUGGACCGAUAUUGACGCUGAGACGCGAAAGCGUGGGUAGCAAACAGGAUUAGAUACCCUGGUAGUCCACGCCGUAAACGAUGAGUACUGGGUGUUGCGGGUAAUGACCCCUGCAGUGCCGCAGCUAACGCAUUAAGUACUCCGCCUGGGAAGUACGGUCGCAAGACUAAAACUCAAAGGAAUUGACGG